rnacentral:rRNA from 1 species
GACGAAGGGGGCAAGCGUUGUUCGGAAUUACUGGGCGUAAAGCGAGUGUAGGUGGUUGUCGUAGUCAGGCGUGAAAGCCUUGAGCUCAACUCAAGAAAUGCGCUUGAUACUGGGCAGCUAGAGGACCGGAGAGGAUAGUGGAGUUCCCAGUGUAGUGGUGAAAUACGUAGAGAUUGGGAAGAACACCAGUGGCGAAGGCGGCUAUCUGGACGGUUUCUGACACUAAGACUCGAAAGCGUGGGGAGCAAACAGG